UAAAAUGAAGGACUAGAUUAAAAUAAAAAGAUUUGAAGGCUGCCCUACUUUGCUUGCCUAUAAAGGCAUUGCAAACCUGCAUUUCAAGGUAGAUCCUAAGACUGGCAGAAUUGUGAAAACUCAAAAAGGUUUUUAGGAGUCUAAAUAUAAAAGAAAACUAAUAUUUUAUUGAAAGAAAGAGAGGGCUAAAAAUAGAGAGAAAUUUGAGGCGGAUGUUGUUUUUAAUCAUUGUUCCAUGGAGACUUAAUUUUGAACUUUGGAGUCUUUUUGAAUAGCUGAAGCAAAUUUAAAAUUUACAUUGAUUUUAAAAUGGUUUGAGGUUGAAUUUUUGAAAUUUCUGGUCUAAGCUGCUUUGAAAUCACUGUUCCAUUGGUUUCAUACCUUGAGAAUUCAACCUCUUGGACCUGGGAACGAUCUGGUGCUAUUACUGUUACUUUUCUCACCUUUUCGUUUGUUUUAUCCAUGUAUUUCCUUGGCUCAUGGUUGAGGUUUGAUUGUUGAGCACGAAAUAGUCGAAGUUUUGUUAAAUGAAGACCUUAUUUGAUGCUGAAUAUCUCCUCUCUUUUACUGUUUCAUGUUCUAUAAUUAGAGUUUAAGAAAUAAAUGUUAAUUAAGGCUUCCUAUUCCUUUGAAAUAUAGUGUGUGAGAAUAAUGUGGUGUUGUACUUUGCAUUCUGUGUCCAUAAUUGAACAUUGGACUUUAAUUGUCUGAGUUCAUGUUGGAUGCUGCAUCUGGGUGCUAGUAUUUGUGAAUGUCUGGCUAAGGAUCACUCAGAUUUGGUCUUGAAAUUCAUAGUCGAUACUCUAGGGUAAUAUAUCUUUAAAUUUGUUUAUGUUUUUAGCUACAAUUAGCUGA
rnacentral:lncRNA from 1 species